rnacentral:rRNA from 1 species
GACGAACGCUGGCGGCGUGCUUAACACAUGCAAGUCGAACGAUGAAGCCGGAGCUUGCUCUGGUGAAUUAGUGGCGAACGGGUGAGUAACACGCGAGUAACCUGCCCUUGACUCUGGGAUAACUGCGGGAAACUGUAGCUAAUACCGGAUACGACCCUCGGAGGCAUCUCCUGGGGGUGGAAAGAAUUUCGGUCAAGGACGGACUCGCGGCCUAUCAGCUAGUUGGUGAGGUAAAGGCUCACCAAGGCGACGACGGGUAGCCGGCCUGAGAGGGUGACCGGCCACACUGGGACUGAGACACGGCCCAGACUCCUACGGGAGGCAGCAGUGGGGAAUAUUGCACAAUGGGCGCAAGCCUGAUGCAGCAACGCCGCGUGAGGGAUGACGGCCUUCGGGUUGUAAACCUCUUUUAGCAGGGAAGAAGCGAAAGUGACGGUACCUGCAGAAAAAGCACCGGCUAACUACGUGCCAGCAGCCGCGGUAA